rnacentral:rRNA from 1 species
UACGUAGGGUGCAAGCGUUAAUCGGAAUUACUGGGCGUAAAGCGUGCGCAGGCGGUUCGUUAUGUCUGAUGUGAAAGCCCCGGGCUCAACCUGGGAAUGGCAUUGGAAACUGGCGAGCUUGAGUGUGGCAGAGGGGGGUGGAAUUCCGCGUGUAGCAGUGAAAUGCGUAGAUAUGUGGAGGAAUACCGAUGGCGAAGGCAGCCCCCUGGGAUAACACUGACGCUCAUGCACGAAAGCGUGGGGAGCAAACAGG